rnacentral:lncRNA from 10 species
UUUAAAAAAAUAGUUUUUCAUAUUUCAAAUUUAGACAUUGUCUUUAACUUUCUAUCAUAAAAGAUGGAAUUUGGCUCUUCCCCAUGCCCCCAAAACACAUAUACACAGUCCCACACCCCCACUGUCCCUGAACCCAGUUAUGUUGUUAAAAUCAAUUGUGGGAGUUUAUAUUACUUUGAUUGCAUAAUUAUUAUUUACAGUUGAAUCAUGUAAAGCAGACAUCACCAGCUUGAUUGAGGUUAGAGCUUAUUAUUUAUAUACAAAGAUGAAGCCAGGAAUUGUAUGUGUCAAUGCCAGAUUAUUAGUGGAAGAUUGGUACCAUUCAGAUAAAAGCUAAAGCUACCUGAAUCAAAUUAGGAAUAAAACCCAGGUCACCAAUGAGCCAGGAUUGGUGGAUCAAAGCUGGUUUAAUUUACAGGAGACUUUAAGGUAAAUUGGUUUUGUAUCUGAAGUCAUUUCAUACCUAGAGACUUAAGAUUAUAAGGAAAACAAAGUAAGUCACUUGUAAAAAUUGAAAGUGGUGAGGAAAUGACAAAUGCGGCAUAUGCAGCUGAGAUGAGUCAUUUGACAGUAGGAAUGAUUCUUGUAAACUAUUUUUUAAAUUAACUAGCUCUUGGUCCAGGAGCUGUGGCUCACGCCUGUAAUCCCAACACUUUGGGAGGCCGAGGCGGGCAGAUUACCUGAGGUCAGGAGUUCGAGGCCAGCCUGCCCAACAUGGUGAAACCCAGUUUGUACUAAAAAUACAAAAAUGAGCUGGGUGUUGUGGCACAUGCCAGUAAUCCCAGCUACUCUGGAGGCUGAGGCAAGAGAAUCACUUGAACCCGGAAGGCGGAGUGAGCUGAGAUCACGCCACUGCACCCCAACCUGGGCGACAGAGCAAGACUCCAUCUCAAAAAAAUAAUUAAUUAAUUAACUAGCUCUCUAAACGUUCAAUAAAACUUAUCCUGAGCCGCAUGUUGUGCCUGUGUGGUCUCACCCAAGGGAAGGUGAGCACAUUCAUAUUGGCUGGUGAAAAUCCAGGCAAUAUGUCUGUAUGGUUCUUAAAGAACUGAGAAACAGCAAGAAUACGCACAAUAUUUGUAAAUAACUUGAGCCUUUAUAAAAUGAUCCUUUUUUGGAAAAUACACAGAAAAAGUUGUGCGCAGGUUUACCUAGAAUGUCAAUUGGAAUGAAGACUGUGAUGGCUUAGCCAUCACAGGUCAUUCUUAUAGAAGCAGCAUUGUCUGUGAAAGGCUUUCAGGAUUCAUCCUUAGAAAGGGUUUAUUUUCCUCUCACUUUCUCCACUGGUGUAAGAUUACAGCUUUCCAGCGUCUCUUGGUGAGAAGGAAAUACAACUUGAUUCCUCUGUCUGAUAAAGUAGGCUUGGGGCUUUU